GACGAACGCUGGCGGCGUGCUUAACACAUGCAAGUCGAACGGAAAGGCCCUGCUUGCAGGGUACUCGAGUGGCGAACGGGUGAGUAACACGUGGGUGCUCUGCCCUGCACUUCGGGAUAAGCCUGGGAAACUGGGUCUAAUACCGGAUAGGAGCCAUUUUUAGUGUGAUGGUUGGAAAGUUUUUUCGGUGUAGGAUGAGCUCGCGGCCUAUCAGCUUGUUGGUGGGGUAAUGGCCUACCAAGGCGGCGACGGGUAGCCGGCCUGAGAGGGUGGACGGCCACAUUGGGACUGAGAGACGGCCCAGACUCCUACGGGAGGCAGCAGUGGGGAAUAUUGCACAAUGGGCGCAAGCCUGAUGCAGCGACGCCGCGUGGGGGAUGACGGCCUUCGGGUUGUAAACUCCUUUCGCUAGGGACGAAGCUUUUUGUGACGGUACCUAGAUAAGAAGCACCGGCUAACUACGUG
rnacentral:rRNA from 1 species